UACGGAGGGGGCUAGCGUUGUUCGGAUUUACUGGGCGUAAAGGGCGCGUAGGCGGUGCGGUAAGUCACUUGUGAAAUCUCCGAGCUUAACUCGGAACGGCCAAGUGAUACUGCAGUACUAGAGUGCGGAAGGGGCAAUCGGAAUUCUUGGUGUAGCGGUGAAAUGCGUAGAUAUCAAGAGGAACACCUGAGGUGAAGACGGGUUGCUGGGCCGACACUGACGCUGAUGCGCGAAAGCCAGGGGAGCAAACGGG
rnacentral:rRNA from 1 species